rnacentral:lncRNA from 1 species
AUACAAGGAUUUGAUGUAUUUUUCUUUUACUGCAUGCUUGAUUGAUCAAGUAUUAGUUUAUGCAAGAGAGUCGUUCUAGAGUACGCGACCUAUUAUCCUUUGACCCUGAAAUAGAACGGACCCUUAGGAAUAUUCGAGCUGGAACCAAAACAUUAGAAUCAUCCCACCUCUUGAAAUGGCUAAAGAACAACCAAAACUCUUGAGGGAGUACUUU